UAGCUAGUUGGUGGGGUAAGGGCCUACCAAGGCUGUGAUCGGUAGCUGGUCUGAGAGGAUGGUCAGCCACACUGGGACUGAGACACGGCCCAGACUCCCACGGGAGGCAGCAGUGGGGAAUAUUGGACAAUGGGGGCAACCCUGAUCCAGCGAUGCCGCGUGUGUGAAGAAGGCCUGAGGGUUGUAAAGCACUUUCAGUGGGGAGGAGGAUUCAUGGGUUAAGAGCUAGUGAAUUGGACGUUACCCACAGAAGAAGCACCGGCUAACUCCGUGCCAGCAGCCGCGGUAAUACGGAGGGUGCAAGUGUUAAUCGGAAUUACUGGGCGUAAAGGGUGCGUAGGUGGUUGAUUAAGUUAUCUGUGAAAUCCCCGGGCUCAACCUGGGCAGGUCAGAUAAUACUGGUUAACUCGAGUGUGGGAGAGGGUAGUGGAAUUUCCGGUGUAGCGGUGAAAUGCGCAGAGAUCGGAAGGAACACCAGUGGCGAAGGCGGCUACCUGGCCUAACACUGACACUGAGGCACGAAAGCGUGGGGAGCAAACAGGAUUAGAUACCCUGGUAGUCCACGCUGUAAACGAUGUCAACUAGCUGUUGGAUAUAUGAAUAUAUUUAGUGGCGA
rnacentral:rRNA from 1 species